rnacentral:rRNA from 1 species
AGUUGGCGGGGUAAUGGCCCACCAAGGCAACGAUGCGUAGCCGACCUGAGAGGGUGAUCGGCCACAUUGGGACUGAGACACGGCCCAAACUCCUACGGGAGGCAGCAGUAGGGAAUCUUCCGCAAUGGACGAAAGUCUGACGGAGCAACGCCGCGUGAGUGAAGAAGGCCUUCGGGUCGUAAAACUCUGUUGCCGGGGAAGAACAAGUGCCGUUCGAACAGGGCGGCGCCUUGACGGUACCCGGCCAGAAAGCCACGGCUAACUACGUGCCAGCAGCCGCGGUAAUACGUAGGUGGCAAGCGUUGUCCGGAAUUAUUGGGCGUAAAGCGCGCGCAGGCGGCUUCUUAAGUCUGAUGUGAAAUCUUGCGGCUCAACCGCAAGCGGUCAUUGGAAACUGGGAGGCUUGAGUGCAGAAGAGGAGAGUGGAAUUCCACGUGUAGCGGUGAAAUGCGUAGAGAUGUGGAGGAACACCAGUGGCGAAGGCGGCUCUCUGGUCUGUAACUGACGCUGAGGCGCGAAAGCGUGGGGAGCAAACAGGAUUAGAUACCCUGGUAGUCCACGCCGUAAACGAUGAGUGCUAAGUGUUAGAGGGUUUCCGCCCUUUAGUGCUGCAGCUAACGCAUUAAGCACUCCGC